rnacentral:rRNA from 1 species
UCCCAGACUCCUAUGGGAGGCAGCAGUGGGGAAUAUUGCACAAUGGGGGAAACCCUGAUGCAGCGACGCCGCGUGAGCGAUGAAGUAUUUCGGUAUGUAAAGCUCUAUCAGCAGGGAAGAAAAUGACGGUACCUGACUAAGAAGCCCCGGCUAACUACGUGCCAGCAGCCGCGGUAAUACGUAGGGGGCAAGCGUUAUCCGGAUUCACUGGGUGUAAAGGGAGCGUAGACGGCCAUGCAAGCCUGGAGUGAAAGCCCGGGGCCCAACCCCGGGACUGCUCUGGGAACUGUGCGGCUGGAGUGCGGGAGGGGCAGGCGGAAUUCCUGGUGUAGCAGUGAAAUGCGUAGAUAUCAGGAGGAACACCGGCGGCGAAGGCGGCCUGCUGGACCGCGACUGACGUUGAGGCUCGAAAGCGUGGGGAGCAAACAGGAUUAGAUACCCGAGUA